CACAUCCACAGGCCCAGAGCUGCAGAGCAGCCUCCUGGGACUUCAGAGGGCUGGAGCUCAGCGGCAGAGGCUGUGGCAGGUCUCGGUCCGUGGAAAAGAAAAACGUUAGGAGCGUCAAGGAAGGUCUCGGCCAGGCCUGGUGACAUGCUUCCUGCCUCGGCUGGCUUCCUCUCCAGUCAGCUGCCAUGGGAAGUCUCUCAUUCAAAGUGUUAACCAGAAAGACAAGAACACUUGAAAAAUAUCCAAUCAGCUCUCCCAGAACUUAGUUUUAAUAAGAGGUCAGCCUGACAUUUAUUUUCCAGUGUUAAAAAAGAGGAUCUUCUUUUUCAAUGCAAAUUAAAAGAUACAUACUUCAAUUCUUGGGAUUUACAAAUUCCAGACUUAGUCUAAGAAACCCAUGCAGGAUAUGCAUGGGUAGUAAGUGGCUGCUUUCUGACCAGGUGACAAACAAAACGAAUACAAUUAGGCAAAUUUCUCCAGUUCUUUCCUUUUUCUCUUAUGACAAAGAAUCACCCUGCGUUUCAUGUCGAGGCACAGUUCUUUACAGGUGUGUUUUAACUGCAUUCCUAAAGUCAGCAGAUUACAUAGGAUAUCAUUUAACUUUAUGAAUGUGGAACUGGUCACAUUAACUCAUGUGGCAACUAGGCCUGUGUCAUAAAAACACUCCAGGCUCUGAAAUAUCUGACAUAAGCAAAUAACCAGUGUCAGCAGGGCCUCCUUCCCCGGGGUGGAGUGGAGUGCAGGACCUGAAACUGCUACCAAGUGGAGGAGUCAAAUCCUUCUCAGGUGCUCAACCCAAUCCUGUGAGACCUUUUAUCAAGUGGUUCUCAUCUUCCUGUUUAUUUGUAAUUAGGAUUUAAUUCUAAAAUUUGUAGGAAACAGAGCUAACUAAACAGUCUAUGUCUGGAAUCCUGAGGGUCCUGAAGAGCAGAGGGGCCGUGAAUUAAGACUUCAUUCUAAAGGCAGGGCAUUGUGUGCUCCACUUGUGCCAGGAUUUGGGUCUGAGAUGGAACCACUGGCCAGGCAUCUGAGAGAGUUUGCUCUCAGAACUCGUGGUCCCAGCAAACCUUGGGAUCAGCUUUCACCACAGUGGCUCUCCUGGUACAUACUGGGAGGAUGUGCAGGUUUUGCUAGCCCUGAGUGUCAAAGUGUAUUUCCCUAGUCCUUCAUAGCUCAUCUGUGACCCAAAGAGGAAUUAACCCUUGCCAAAGAAGCCCUUUCAGAUCUGCCUUUUGGGUCAUCACUCUUUGCUACAUUGCAUCUCAUCCCAGAUGGGCAACUAUUACAACCCUCACGCCUCACUGCCUUUGUCCUGUCCAUUCUGCAGCUGCCUGUGUCCCCAGGCCACCGCCUUACACAGGAAAUCCAGCUGGUGCUGUACGUUACAUGAUCUUGGAAUUACAGACCCUGACAUCCACGCAGUGUGCACUGAUAAUUUCUGAAUAUACCAAAAGCAAGGACUACAAUUUUCUACUGGUAAAAAGGGGGUUAAUAAAAAAAAAAUGCCCUUGCCUUUUGAAGCAGUAAUUUAAACCCACAAGCUAGAAAUCAAGAUCAAAAAGUUCCACAGUGACUAACAUGGAAAUUACUUAGCCAUCAAAACCGCUGAUGUCGUAAACAAAAUUCGUCAACAGCCACUAAGAAUUCAUUGAAAGUGAAUUUAUUGUUUGUUUAAAAUAAAAUAAAAAAAAAACAACUGUGCAACACGUGCUGCUCAAGACAGUGUGAAUCAGGUUUGGUGUUCAUCUCUUCUCAGGCUUCAGUUUGGCAAGGCUAAAUGAGAGACACGGUACAGACACAUAGUUAGUAAGCACAGAGCAGGGGCAACAACAAUACGUGUUUGUU